rnacentral:rRNA from 1 species
AGAUUGAACGCCGGCGGCAGGCCUAACACAUGCAAGUCGAGCGGUAGAGAGGUGCUUGCACCUCUUGAGAGCGGCGGACGGGUGAGUAAUGCCUAGGAAUCUGCCUAGUGGUGGGGGAUAACGUUCGGAAACGGACGCUAAUACCGCAUACGUCCUACGGGAGAAAGCGGGGGACCUUCGGGCCUCGCGCCAUUAGAUGAGCCUAGGUCGGAUUAGCUAGUUGGUGAGGUAAUGGCUCACCAAGGCGACGAUCCGUAACUGGUCUGAGAGGAUGAUCAGUCACACUGGAACUGAGACACGGUCCAGACUCCUACGGGGGCAGCAGGUGGGAAUAUUGGACAAGUGGCGAAAGCCUGAUCCAGCCAUGCCGCGUGUGUAGAAGAAGGUCUUGGAUUGUAAGCUAGUUAAGUUGGAGGUAAGGUUAGUAACUAAUACGUUAGCUAACUUGACGUUACGACAAGAAUAAGCUAACCGCUUAACUCG